rnacentral:rRNA from 1 species
UGGGGAAUAUUGGACAAUGGGCGAAAGCCUGAUCCAGCCAUGCCGCGUGUGUGAAGAAGGCCCUCGGGUUGUAAAGCACUUUCAGUGGGGAAGAAAGCCUCGGGAUUAAUACUUCCGAGGAAGGACAUCACCCACAGAAGAAGCACCGGCUAACUCCGUGCCAGCAGCCGCGGUAAUACGGAGGGUGCGAGCGUUAAUCGGAAUUACUGGGCGUAAAGCGCGCGUAGGCGGUCUGAUCAGCCGGUUGUGAAAGCCCCGGGCUCAACCUGGGAACGGCAUCCGGAACUGUCAGGCUAGAGUGCAGGAGAGGAAGGUAGAAUUCCCGGUGUAGCGGUGAAAUGCGUAGAGAUCGGGAGGAAUACCAGUGGCGAAGGCGGCCUUCUGGACUGACACUGACGCUGAGGUGCGAAAGCGUGGGUAGCAAACAG